GACGAACGCUGGCGGCGUGCCUAAUACAUGCAAGUCGAACGCAGUGGGGACGGGUGAGUAACACGUGGGUAACCUCCCAUCAGAGGGGAUAACCCUUGGAAACAGGUGCUAAACCGAUCCUGAUGGAUGGACCCGCGGUGCAUUCGCUAGUUGGUGCGGUAACGGCUCACCAAGGCCACGAUGCAUAGCCGAGCGGAGAGGGUGAUCGGCCACACUGGGAUGUAGACAGGGCCCAGACGCUUACGUGAGGAAGCAGUAGGGAAUCGUCUGCAAUGGACGAAAGUCUGACAGAGCAACGCCGCGUGAGUGAAGAAGGUUUUCGGAUCGUAAAACUCUGUUGUUAGAGAAGCGGUAUCUAACCAGAAAGCCACGGCUAACUACGUGCCAGCAGCCGCGGUAAUAC
rnacentral:rRNA from 1 species